GCAAACCAUUGCUCAGUGGCAGAGCAUCUCCCUUGCAUGCAGAAGGCUCCAGGUUCAAUCUCUGGCAUCUCCA